rnacentral:rRNA from 1 species
CAGAAUCAACGCUGGCGGCGUGCCUAACACAUGCAAGUCGCACGAGAAAGGGGAGCAAUCCCUGAGUAAAGUGGCGCACGGGUGAGUAACACGUGAAUCAUCUACCUCCGAGUGGGGAAUAACCUAGAGAAAUCUGGGCUAAUACCGCAUAACACUUACGAGUCAAAGCAGCAAUGCGCUUGGAGAGGAGUUCGCGGCCGAUUAGCUAGUUGGCGGGUAAUGGCCCACCAAGGCGAUGAUCGGUA